GAGUGUCAGUCUUUUGUACCGAUUAGUGACGGUAAACAACUACGAACUAUCAAGUUUUAGAGGCGGGAACAGAGACGGAGUGACGACAUUCAGGACGAUGAGAAAACGGAAGACGACAGCGAGUGGGAAGAGUUAGCAAACAUAAGAGACGCGGGAGGGAUGGAGUAAUGGACGGCGAGAAGCCACGGGGACGGGCGAAAAUGCUCCGUGUCCUGGGCGACUCCGCUCUUCUGAGGGAUUACAAAGGGUUUAACUGGCGGAUGAAGCCGAGCAAAGUGAAAAUGACACUUUCCGCUGGGACGAGUGAGGUUUGGCCGAGCUUCAGACGCAGAUCGCAGCGAGCAGGUUGGCAGCAGCGAUCGGCCGGUUCACCAGCGCAGGGAACGCUGGGAGUCACGGGCUGUGAUUGGUGGCCCGAAACAGUCCAGGUGGAACCGGGCCGGCCGCUGCUUUUCACUUACUUACGAGCUCUGUUUCCACAAGCGUGAAGGGAGUGACAGGAAACAGGAAGCAAAUGAGCUAUAAUAUCCCUAAUGAAAACAUGCUCUACUGGAAUUCUGUUUUUUACAUUUUUAAUGUGCAUAUGCCCAUGAAUUUAGAUGGAUGAUGAUGAUGAUGAAGAAAAAAAUCAACAUCUUAGAAAAACGAAAUUUGUCAUUUGUCAAAAUGCACUGUAUGUUCUAUAAACAGUGCAUAUAGUAUUUACACACUAGCUAGUUUUCACACUUAUGACAUGAAAUCAGGUCUACAGACUAGAAGAAAACAUUAUAACUUGUUUCCUUUACAGAUAACAAAUCUUUCUCUCCUAUUACCGGUCCAUAUUUGUCUGCUCAUGGCAGGUUCAGAAAUAAAAGGUGUGGGAGGUUUGUGUUGUAUCUGAAGACAAGUCUAAUAUUGUUUCUUCUCAUGCAUAUAGAGCAUCUCUGCUCCUCCUCAUACACUCAUGUUUCCAGCAGGACUAAGACAAUGCAGGAAAACAUAUGUGACAUGCCGAGCAAUUUGCUUUGAUAAGCAAUCAGUGUCUGGUAUAUGUCUGUCUGUGGAACGAGACACUGCUUCAGAGUGGAUUCGCUCCCAAAUGCAAAACGAUCUUUUCAUCAUGUCGGUGAAAACACACAAAAAAGAAAACACAGGCAGCAAUGAGAGACGCCGCACUUCUCACAACACUGAAGUUCAGCCCAGUCGCACUGAACUCCUGAUAAAGUACGUGGUGUCCAUGAAAUGUUUUGACACAGACACAUGCAGCUCAUUGGUAAAUAACUUGAUUAAGAAAAAAUGAUUUGUGGUUCCACA